rnacentral:rRNA from 1 species
GGAGUCUAGCAUGUGCGCGAGUCAUUGGGACUAGCGAAACCUAAAGGCGAAAUGAAAGUGAAGGCGCGCUACGCGCGCCGAGGGAGGAUGGGCCGCGCCUCGGCGCGGCCCCGCACUCCCGGGGCGUUUCGUUCUCACUGCGAGAUGAGGCGCACCCAGAGCGUACACGCUGGGACCCGAAAGAUGGUGAACUAUGCCUGGUCAGGACGAAGUCAGGGGAAACCCUGAUGGAGGUCCGUAGCGAUUCUGACGUGCAAAUCGAUCGUCGGAACUGGGUAUAGGGGCGAAAGACUAAUCGAACCAUCUAGUAGCUGGUUCCCUCCGAAGUUUCCCUCAGGAUAGCUGGCGCUCGCUUUGCGAGUCUCAUCCGGUAAAGCGAAUGAUUAGAGGCAUUGGGGUCGAAACGGCCUCAACCUAUUCUCAAACUUUAAAUGGGUGAGAUCUCCGGCUUGCUUAAAUCUUGAAGCCGCGAGAAUCUUACAGAGGAUCAGAGUGCCAAGUGGGCCAUUUUUGGUAAGCAGAACUGGCGCUGUGGGAUGAACCAAACGCAGAGUUAAAGCGCCUAAAUCGACGCUUAUGGGAUACCAUGAAAGGCGUUGGUAACUUAAGACAGCAGGACGGUGGCCAUGGAA